GCCGGGUUAGCUCAGAGGUAGAGCAGCAGUUUUGUAACCUGCAGGUCUCCAGUUCGAAUCUGGAACUCGGCUCCA
rnacentral:tRNA from 1 species